AGCGAACGCUGGCGGCAAGCUUAACACAUGCAAGUCGAACGAUGUAGCAAUACAUAGUGGCGGACGGGUGUCUAACACGUGGGAAUCUGCCCUUAGGUUCGGAAUAACUCAGGGAAACUUGAGCUAAUACCGUAUAAUAUCUCCGGAUCAAAGAUUUAUCGCCUAAGGAUGAGCCCGCGGUGGAUUAGCUAGUUGGUGGGGUAAUGGCCUACCAAGGCGACGAUCCAUAGCUGGUCUGCUCGGAUGCUCAGCCACACUGGGACUGAGACACGGCCCCUCCUCCUACGGGAGGCAGCAGUGGCUCCUCUUUCCCAAUGGGGGGAACCCUGAUCCAGCUAUGCCGCGUUUCUUCUCCCUGCCUUCGGGUUGUCCCCUUCUUUUCUGUGGGACGAUAAUGACGGUACCACCAGCCCCAGCCCCGGCAAACUUCGUGCCAGCAGCCGCGGUAA
rnacentral:rRNA from 1 species